rnacentral:miRNA from 1 species
UCGUGUGUGUGUGUGUGUGUAU